rnacentral:ribozyme from 1 species
GGUUGCAAGCUCAAGGCAUUAUCAGAGGCACUAAUGGUGCUGCCCUGUCAGAUUCCAAUGAAUCUGUGAAUUCUGCU